ensembl:lncRNA
UACACUCAUAUACAUUCCCUGAAUUAUAUAUGCUAUAGUCUUCUCAGAUAAUGAUCUUUGCAGCAGCUGCUUGUUUCCUAUCCAGAGGAAUCUGCAGCCUACAGACCUGCCUGAGCAAAGACCCGCAUGUCGAGGCACUGCGUGUUCUGCAGGAACUUCUUUGACUGUAUCCUGGAGGUCUUUGAUUUCCUAACCACCUAACAAAAACUAGUUAUACUGGCGGCAUCUGGGUUGUCCUUCAGAGAUAACACAGAGCUACUCAUAGGUUGUAUUAAAUUUUACCUUAAUGAUUAAUGUUGGUUUUCAGAAAUAUUAAAAGUUUUAGGAAAUAAAUGCUUGUUAAAAUCUUAAAAGGCUAUGCUGGAAGAUGUGGGUAGCUAUACACUGGCUUUUUCAUCAAUGGCAAGUAAAUAAAUAAGUAAUGUGGCAUUGUAACAAUUUGUAUGAAAUAGGUCAUAGCAAAUAUAUUGGAUGUUGAAAUGUAAAUCUAAGAUUUGAAAUGUAAAUCUAAGAUGUUGAAAAAGUAAAUCUAAGUGGGAAAUCAGCAGCCAAGGAAAGAUCCUAGGAAAUUUCCUUCAAGAUGUUUUCUGAGAUGAGUCACAUUCGAUAUUUUGGUUGAUUAUCUGGAGGAUAUAUGCCUUUUCAGUGAGUAGGUGAGAAAUGCAUUUCCUACAUACUGUCAACACAGGAGUGCAAGGAGCUAGUCUCACAGGAGCUCUUAUUCUGAGAGUCACUCUCAGUAGCUUCAGUGUUGAGCUGAAGUCCAGAAAUAGUGCCAAUACUCGCUGUGGGGAAGUAAAUCAGGAGAGAACCAGCAAUGGGACUCACCCCUUCUUCUGCCAGGUAAACUGCCAAAUGUAUUUGAAAUGACCUUAGCUUGGAUGAAGUGGAAGAUGAUGCAGGAGCAGACACUGAGGUCUUGUCACCAUCUGUGGUGGGAUUCUGGCCCCUGGGAAAAGGCAAAAACCAGCAGGAAUGGGGACAAGCACCUCCCACAAGGACAGAGAGGUUCAACUCCAUUUGCUGCCUGGAAGCUACAGCACAAGCAUCCAGCAGACUACUUGUGGACAAGCUGUGUCCAUCAGGGUGCUUUGUAGGGAGCAAAGCCCACGUGAGGCUCAAGGGCAUGGUCAAGCCCAACCUGGAUAACCACAGAUUUGGUCUUGACAACAGCUUCAGGGAUGCUUGCUCUGGUCAGUGUGGGCCUAUGCAUACUCUUAAAGCAAUGCCUGCCCAAGCAGUUCUUGGGUUAAGUACUUAUAUGCUAGUCACUAUUUUUCACAUGUAUAAUUUUCAGUAGUGCUGCUUCUUUCCAAGAAGUGCUCUGAGCAUGACUGGCAUGACUGUGAGUUAAUUAAAGAUACUUAAGUCAUUGUUAAGACCAUAACAAUCACGAUAAUGUAAUUUUUCACUUUAUGUUCUAAACAUUUUCUACCAUUUCCUUUCUGUUUAAUAGAGAGUGCCUGUGUGUUUAAAAAUGAAGUUUUUUUUUUGUUUUUUUUUUUUUAUGCUCAGUAAUAGGAAACAUUAGGUGGGCUCUUACUCUUUAUUCUGAAACUGAGCUAACAAAAAUCUUUGUUUCCUUUUAGCACUUAGGCUGGUAUCUUUGUCAUGGCAUGCAGAGGAGCCAGAAAGACUUAUUCCCCAGUAAGCUACAACACCGUUGAGACUGACACUGUUUUAACUGCAUAUCUGAGAGCUGCUGGUGGGACAAAUGGAUCAUGGUGUGGUUUUUAUGCUUUCUUUUGUUGGUUUAUGGAUUUGUUCUGGAGCAAAGCAACCCGUACUGAAAUUAUUAGUCCAACAGAGAGCACCAAAUAGCUCUGAGAGAUCAGGUAUGAAUAAGAUUCUCGUAUAAUCUAGAUAUAAUAGUCCAGCUGGAGCAUAUAUUGCAAGCAUCCUGCCUUUGAGGUUUGAUUUGUAGAUUCAAGCUAAAGAAAAUUCUGCACAUAAUAAAGUUUGUGCGUAAUAAAUAGUGUAGUAUUUG